rnacentral:rRNA from 1 species
UACGUAGGGUGCGAGCGUUAAUCGGAAUUACUGGGCGUAAAGCGUGCGCAGGCGGCGCGUUAAGACAGGUGUGAAAGCCCCGAGCUUAACUUGGGAAUUGCGCUUGUGACUGGCGUGCUGGAGUGUGGCAGAGGGAGGUGGAAUUCCACGUGUAGCAGUGAAAUGCGUAGAUAUCUGGAGGAACACCGGUGGCGAAGGCGGCAUCCUGGACCGGUAUUGACGCUGAGGCGCGAAAGCCAGGGGAGCAAACGGG